UACGAAGGGGGCUAGCGUUGCUCGGAAUCACUGGGCGUAAAGGGUGCGUAGGCGGGGCUUUAAGUCAGGGGUGAAAUCCUGGAGCUCAACUCCAGAACUGCCUUUGAUACUGGCGAUCUUGAGUCCGGGAGAGGUGAGUGGAACUCCGAGUGUAGAGGUGAAAUUCGUAGAUAUUCGGAAGAACACCAGUGGCGAGGGCGGCUCACUGGCCCGGUACUGACGCUGAGGUGCGAAAGCGUGGGGAGCAAACAGG
rnacentral:rRNA from 1 species